rnacentral:rRNA from 1 species
GCACGAGUUGUAGAUUGCAGGUUGGAGUCUGUGUGGAAGGCGGUGUCCAAGUCCCUUGGAACAGGGCGCCCAGGAGGGUGAGAGCCCCGUGGGAUGCCGGCGGAAGCAGUGAGGCCCUUCUGACGAGUCGAGUUGUUUGGGAAUGCAGCUCCAAGCGCGUGGUAAAUUCCAUCUAAGGCUAAAUACUGGCGAGAGACCGAUAGCGAACAAGUACUGUGAAGGAAAGAUGAAAAGCACUUUGAAAAGAGAGUGAAACAGCACGUGAAAUUGUUGAAAGGGAAGGGUAUUGCGCCCGACAUGGGGAUUGCGCACCGCUGCCUCUCGUGGGCGGCGCUCUGGGCUUUCCCUGGGCCAGCAUCGGUUCUUGCUGCAGGAGAAGGGGUUCUGGAACGUGGCUCUUCGGAGUGUUAUAGCCAGGGCCAGAUGCUGCGUGCGGGGACCGAGGACUGCGGCCGUGUAGGUCACGGAUGCUGGCAGAAC